rnacentral:rRNA from 1 species
CUACGGGGUGCAGCAGUGAGGAAUUUUGCGCAAUGGGGGCAACCCUGACGCAGCAACGCCGCGUGAGUGAAGAAGGCCUUUGGGUCGUAAAGCUCUGUCAACUGGGAAGAAAUUACAGUUAUCCAAUAGGUGACUGUAUUGACGGUACCAGUGGAGGAAGCGCCGGCUAACUCCGUGCCAGCAGCCGCGGUAACACGGGGGGCGCAAGCGUUAUUCGGAAUUAUUGGGCGUAAAGGGCGCGCAGGCGGUCUUGUCAGUCAGAUGUGAAAGCCCGGGGCUCAACCCUGGAAGUGCAUUUGAAACAGCAAGACUUGAGUACGGGAGAGGAAAGCGGAAUUCCUGGUGUAGAGGUGAAAUUCGUAGAUAUCAGGAGGAACACCGAUGGCGAAGGCAGCUUUCUGGACCGAUACUGACGCUGAGGCGCGAAGGCGUGGGUAGCAAACGGGAUUAGAUACCCGCGUAGUC